UCCCUAUGGGGUGCAGCAGUUGCGAAAACUCUACAAUGCACGAAAGUGUGAUAGGGUUAUCCCGAGUGCCGUCCGAUGAGGAUGGCUUUUAUCUGGUGUAAGGAGCCAGGGGAAUAAAGGGGGGGCAAGACUGGUGUCAGCCGCCGCGGUAAUACCAGCCCCCUGAGUGGUAGGGAUGAUUAUUUGGCCUAAAGCGUCCGUAGCCGGCUUAGCAAGUCUUUCGUUAAAUCCAGUGACUUAAUCAUUGAGCUGCGAGAGAUACUACUAGGCUUGAGGACGGGAGAGGUCGACGGUAUUUCGGGGGUAGGGGUAAAAUCCUAUAAUCCUCGGAGGACCACCAGUGGCGAAGGCGGUCGACUAGAACGUGCCUGACGGUGAUGGACGAAAGCUGGGGGAGCAAACCGGAUUAGACACCCGGGUAGUCCCAGCUGUAAACGAUGCGGGCUAGGUGUUGGGGCAGCUACGAGUUGCUCCAGUGCCGCAGAGAAGUCAUUAAGCCCGCCGCCUGGGAAGUACGGUCGCAAGACUGAAACUUAAAGGAAUUGGCGGGGAGCACCACAAGGGGUGAAGCCUGCGGUUCAAUUGGAUUCAACGCCGGA
rnacentral:rRNA from 1 species